rnacentral:rRNA from 1 species
UACAGAGGUUUCAAGCGUUGUUCGGAUUCAUUGGGCGUAAAGGGUGCGUAGGCGGCGCGGUAAGUCGGGGGUGAAAUCUUGGAGCUUAACUCCGAAACUGCAUUCGAUACUGCCGUGCUUGAGGACUGGAGAGGAGACUGGAAUUUACGGUGUAGCGGUGAAAUGCGUAGAUAUCGUAAGGAAGACCAGUGGCGAAGGCGGGUCUCUGGACAGUUCCUGACGCUGAGGCACGAAGGCCAGGGGAGCAAACGGG